AGCGAACGCUGGCGGCAGGCUUAACACAUGCAAGUCGAGCGGGCACUUUCGGGUGUCAGCGGCGGACGGGUGAGUAACGCGUGGGAACGUGCCCUCUGGUUCGGAAUAACUCAGGGAAACUUGAGCUAAUACCGGAUACGCCCUUUUGGGGAAAGGCUUGCUGCCGGAGGAUCGGCCCGCGUCUGAUUAGCUAGUCGGUGAGGUAACGGCUCACCAAGGCGACGAUCAGUAGCUGGUCUGAGAGGAUGAUCAGCCACACUGGGACUGAGACACGGCCCAGACUCCUACGGGAGGCAGCAGUGGGGAAUAUUGGACAAUGGGGGCAAGCCUGAUCCAGCCAUGCCGGGUGAGUGAUGAAGGCCUUAGGGUUGUAAAGCUCUUUUAUCCGGGACGAUAAUGACGGUACCGGAGGAAUAAGCCCCGGCUAACUUCGUG
rnacentral:rRNA from 1 species